UACAGAGGUCCCGAGCGUUGUUCGGAUUCAUUGGGCGUAAAGGGUGCGUAGGCGGCGGGGCAAGUCUGAUGUGAAAUCCCGGGGCUCAACCCCGGAACUGCAUUGGAUACUGCCUUGCUUGAGUACUGGAGAGGGAACUGGAAUUUACGGUGUAGCAGUGAAAUGCGUAGAGAUCGUAAGGAAGGCCAGUGGCGAAGGCGAGUUCCUGGACAGUUACUGACGCUGAGCACGAAGGCCAGGGGAGCAAACGGG
rnacentral:rRNA from 1 species